CAUCGAAGCAGACUCUGUUUCGUGGUUUCACCGUUCCCUCGCCGUCGCCCUGUACUUGCGCCACCGCAACUCCCCGACAGAUCUGCCAUACGCCACCGGCCGCGGCAAGCCCUCCUCCCUUUCAACCCCAAUCGCUCAAACUCGGCCGCCACAGGAGCUUUUCCUUCAUGCGCUCACCACCCCUUGCUCGUGGUCGCCGCCACCGCUUCUUGGCAUCUCCGGCCGUACGCGCAUCAGGCCAAUCCGCCCCGGAGGCCAUCGCUGCUGCAAGUGCUAGCAGCCGGAUGACAUACCAGUGCAGCUCGACCGCUGUGGACAAAGCAUCCUCAACCUCACGCACUAACAUCUUAGAUAUUGAAGAGCGCCUUGGCAGAGUCAAGUGUGGACAGUUAUCUAGGAAGAAAGUGAAUGGAGUUCAAGUAACCAUACAGCAGGAUCCAUUGGAAUGCCAGUACGGGCCCCUUUUCAAGAUAUUACAAAUGUGGUUGACUCACAUAGUUUAUCAAAAGGGAAACAAGCACAAAAAGUUCUUGGUUCAGUGGAUCAUCCAAUUACUGGGACAAAACGAUCGAUCAAUCCAUCUGGCAUAUCCAUACAGUCAAAUACUCCUUCGACUGGACACGUAAGUCUACCAACAGAAGCUUCCGAGCAUAAGCGUUAUCAUGACCGGGAAAGAUACUUGGAGAUGACUCUAGAACAGCGCACUGCCUACCUGGAAAGAAACCGUGAGUACAAACGGAGAAGGAAAAAUCCUGCUGCAGUUAGUGAUAAUGCACAAUCUGGGAGUCAAACUUGUACUUCUACCACCAGUUCAAUUACAGAAGGUUGAUAAUAAAUUGCCCUGUGAUCUUGCUUCGGAAUUUAGAUCCUCAUCAUGGAUUAUGCAAUGGCACAAGGCUUAUUAUUAAGGCAUUUCAAGAUAAUACUAGCGAUGCUGAAAUUAUUGGAGGACAACAUGCUGGAAAGCGAGUAUUCCUUCCAAGAAUUCCUUUGUAUCCUUCUGAAGAUGAUGUGCUUCCCUUCAAGUUCAAGAGAAAGCAAUUUCCAAUUCGUCUUAGCUUUGCAAUGACAAUCAAUAAAGCUCAAGGUCAAACAAUUCCGCAUGUUGGUAUCUACCUUCCAGAACCCGUGUUCUCUCACGGUCAACUAUAUGAUGCAUUGUCCCGAGGAAUAUCAAGGCAAAGAACAAGAAUACUUGCCAAGCCAAACAGGGAUAUCGACCCAUCAGGAAAAAGUACCAAAAAUAUUGUCUAUAAGGAGGUUUUGGCACGAUAAAUGUACAUAAUGCAGAACUGUCUUUGUUUCACAUAUAUAUGAGCAUGCUUUACUUUGUCUCAUAAUAUUGGUACGUUGACAAUUGUUGAGAUUUUUUUUAUAAAUAUACGCAUAUAUUAGAAUCUUGAUUAACAUAGGCCUUAUAUUCUAAUCUGUUCUACAGAUACAUGGAUACAUAAUGUUUUCUGUUCAGAGAGAGCACGAAUGGAGUAUUGUGCUACUAUUGUCAAUUUUUUUGUUUGCUGUAGUUCUAAGUUUGUGUCCAGAAGAUCAUCGACUAGAUCAGGAUCCUUGUUUCAUUUAUAAUACACCGAAUCAUUUUUUAUGUGCAAACCAUGAAUUUGCUUUAGUAAGCUGAAAUUUGGACAUUUACGUUUUUUGAUUAUGCCAGCCUUAGAUUGCACAGAACCAUGUUCGACAUUGCAGACUGGUUUUAUACCAUAUAGAAGGUGUUGUUUUUAUCUUGUCAUUGAACACCUCUUCGCACUUUUUUUUUUGGUCUCAAUACUUAACUUGAUACACUCUUAUGUUGGCAGGGUCAAUUGGAAUCAUAUGCCUUUAUGGAUCAUGAACUUGAAGUGAAGGCUUGUGCUGAGCUCUAAGCAUCCAUGCUUCAGGCAACAUUAGUAUUAGAUGCCAGCUUCAUUUUGGCAUGAGCUACACUCUUUAGUUGUGGAUUUGAAAAAUAUUAGUAAAAGAAGUUUAUGUAUCUAUAUGUAUUGUUGUACGUGACAUAGCUGUGUAUAAACAAUACGUGAAAUCAACCCUGAAAACAAACUCAGCUCGCAAAUAGCAAUAAUUGUAUG